UACGUAGGGGGCGAGCGUUGUCCGGAAUUACUGGGCGUAAAGAGCGCGCAGGCGGCUGGUCAAGUCCGACGUGAAAUCUCCCGGCUUAACUGGGAAAUUGCAUCGGAAACUGAUCGGCUUGAAGGUGGGAGAGGGUAGCGGAAUUCCCGGUGUAGUGGUGAAAUGCGUAGAUAUCGGGAGGAACACCAGUGGCGAAGGCGGCUACCUGGCCCAUUCUUGACGCUGAGGCGCGAAAGCUAGGGGAGCAAACGGG
rnacentral:rRNA from 1 species